rnacentral:rRNA from 1 species
UGGGGAAUUUUGGGCAAUGGCCGCAAGGCUGACCCAGCGACGCCGCGUGCGGGAGGACGCCUUUCGGGGUGUAAACCGCUGUCGGGAGGGACGAACCCGGGCGUGUCGAACAGGCAUGCCCGCUGACGGUACCUCCAAAGGAAGCACCGGCUAACUCCGUGCCAGCAGCCGCGGUAAGACGGAGGGUGCUAGCGUUGUUCGGAAUCACUGGGCGUAAAGGGCGCGUAGGCGGCGUCGCAAGUCGGCUGUGAAAGCCCGGGGCUCAACCCCGGAGGUGCAGCCGAGACUGCGGUGCUCGAGUCCGGAAGAGGAGGGUGGAAUACCCAGUGUAGAGGUGAAAUUCGUAGAUAUUGGGUGGAACACCGGUGGCGAAAGCGGCUCUCUGGUCCGGCACUGACGCUGAGGCGCGAAAGCGUGGGGAGCAA